rnacentral:rRNA from 1 species
UGCCAGCCGCCUCGGUACUACUAAUGUACCUAUCGUAGUUCGGAAUUACUGGGCUUAAAGAGUUCGUAGGUGGUUGAAAAAGUUAGUGGUGAAAUCCCAGAGCUUAACUCUGGAACUGCCAUUAAAACUUUUCAGCUAGAGUAUGAUAGAGGAAAGCAGAAUUUUUAGUGUAGAGGUGAAAUUCGUAGAUAUUAGAAAGAAUACCAAUUGCGAAGGCAGCUUUCUGGAUCAUUACUGACACUGAGGUGCGAAAGCGUGGGGAGCAAACAGGAUUAGAUA